rnacentral:rRNA from 1 species
UGGCGGACGGGUGAGUAACGCGUGGAAAACCUGCCGUAUACUGGGGGAUAACACUUAGAAAUAGGUGCUAAUACCGCAUAAGCGCACAGCUUCGCACGAAGCGGUGUGAAAAACUCUGGUGGUAUACGAUGGUUCCGCGUCUGAUUAGCUAGUUGGUGGGGUAAUGGCCUACCAAGGCAACGAUCAGUAGCCGGCCUGAGAGGGUGAACGGCCACAUUGGGACUGAGACACGGCCCAAACUCCUACGGAAGGCAGCAG